rnacentral:lncRNA from 1 species
GUUCCCAGUGGAUGACGGUGUGCCCUCUGACAAGAGUGGUAUCGCACCAUCUGUAAGUGUCACUCGUGGCUAAGUAAUGUCGUGACCAUAGAUAUCUGUUAGGACCACUAUGGUUCAUACGGUAGUAGUCAUAGAUAGUAUCAUGGUUUGGCUAGUCGGAAGUGGGCCUGAGCAAAUUGCUGUAUCUAUAUAUGAUUUGGUCAUUUCACUUAGGCAGUUAGAAAUCUAU